UACAGAGGUCUCGAGCGUUAGGCGGAAUCACUGGGCUUAAAGCGUGCGUAGGCGGUUCGUUGUGUCUGUGGUGAAAGCCCCGGGCUUAACCUGGGAAUGGCCAUGGAAACUGGCGAGCUGGAGUGUGGCAGAGGGGGGUGGAAUUCCGCGUGUAGCAGUGAAAUGCGUAGAGAUGCGGAGGAACACCGAUGGCGAAGGCAGCCCCCUGGGCUAACACUGACGCUCAGGCACGAAAGCGUGGGGAGCAAACAGG
rnacentral:rRNA from 1 species